ACGGUAUUUUACAUUUCUUCAGACUUUUCUGUCGUCAUAAGAAGUGCAAAUUUGAAGUGUUAACGCGAACUUCAAAAUACACUUUUGGGACCAAUCUGCGUGCCAUACAGGAGGCACGCAAGUAAAACCUUUAUUUAGAAAUCAAGGGAGCAAAGCACCUGGCAGGUGGGCGUCAGUCACUGUCACCUGUUGCGACCGUCAUUUCCGGAAAAUCCUUGCCGGAGCCAAACGAGAUACAACUUUGACAGCAGAACUGAGACUCUCUCAUCACUGUUAACCACAACAUGCUGCAAACCAAGGACCCCAAGCAGGCGCAGCACAGCCGACAGGCAUAUGACGGAGAUGUAAAACUAAACCUGUACACACCCACACGCUCACAG